UACGAAGGGGACUAGCGUUGUUCGGAAUUACUGGGCGUAAAGCGCACGUAGGCGGCUUUCUAAGUCAGGGGUGAAAUCCUGGAGCUCAACUCCAGAACUGCCUUUGAUACUGGAGAGCUUGAGUCCGGAAGAGGUGAGUGGAACUCCGAGUGUAGAGGUGAAAUUCGUAGAUAUUCGGAAGAACACCAGUGGCGAAGGCGGCUCACUGGUCCGGUACUGACGCUGAGGUGCGAAAGCGUGGGGAGCAAACAGG
rnacentral:rRNA from 1 species